rnacentral:rRNA from 1 species
GAGGUCCGACCUGCCCAGUGAUAUUAAUUCAACGGCCGCGGUAUUUUGACCGCGCUAAGGUAGCACAAUCACUUGUCUCUUAAAUGGGGACUAGUAUGAAAGGACCCACGAGAAUCUAACUGUCUCCUUUCUUUAAUCCGUGAAACUAAUCCCCCUGUGAAAAAGCAGGGAUCAUUAUAUAAGACGAGAAGACCCUAUGGAGCUUUAGAUAAAGCAAUACUUUCUUUUUAUAAACCAUUUUCAGAAGAAUACCCCCAAGAAAUUUUGUUGCCAAUCUUUGGUUGGGGUGACCACGGAGUAAAACUAAUCCUCCACGCCGAAUGGAACCUUCCAUAACAAAGAGCUACAGUUCUACGAACCAAAAAAUUGACAAUUGACCCAAUAUUUGAUCAACGAAACAAGUUACCCUAGGGAUAACAGCGCAAUCUACUUCAAGAGUCCCUAUUGACAAGUGGGUUU